rnacentral:rRNA from 1 species
CCUACGGGGGGCAGCAGUGGGGAAUAUUGCACAAUGGGGGAAACCCUGAUGCAGCGACGCCGCGUGAGUGAAGAAGUAAUUCGUUAUGUAAAGCUCUAUUAGCAGGGAAGAAAAUGACGGUACCUGCGUAAGAAGCCCCGGCUAACUACGUGCCAGCAGCCGCGGUAAUACGUAGGGGGCAAGCGUUAUCCGGCUUUACUGGGUGUAAAGGGAGCGUAGACGGCAGUGCAAGUCUGGAGUGAAAGGCGGAGGCUCAACCCCCGAACUGCUCUGGAAACUGUACGGCUUGAGUGCAGGAGAGGCAAGUGGAAUUCCUAGUGUAGCGGUGAAAUGCGUAGAUAUUAGGAGGAACACCAGUGGCGAAGGCGGGUUACUGGACUGUAACUGACGUUGAGGCUCGAAAGCGUGGGGAGCAAACAGGAUUAGAUACCCGAGUAGUC